rnacentral:rRNA from 1 species
UACGUAGGGUGCGAGCGUUAAUCGGAAUUACUGGGCGUAAAGCGUGCGCAGGCGGUUACAUAAGACAGAUGUGAAAUCCCCGGGCUUAACCUGGGAACUGCGUUUGUGACUGUGUGACUAGAGUACGGCAGAGGGGGGUGGAAUUCCUGGUGUAGCAGUGAAAUGCGUAGAUAUCAGGAGGAACAUCGAUGGCGAAGGCAGCCCCCUGGGCCUGUACUGACGCUCAUGCACGAAAGCGUGGGGAGCAAACAGG